rnacentral:rRNA from 1 species
AUGGCCCCUAAUAGAGCCCCUGGACCCGAUAAUAUCCCUGCUAAGUUCUAUCAGGUGUGAUGGGAUAUAGUUAAAGAUGACAUUAUGGCCUUUAAAGCCUUCCACCAGGGGACACUGGAUGUUCAGAGACUUAAUUUUGGAGUUAUUACUCUGCUCCCUAAAGUUUCUGGAGCCGAGAAAAUCCAGCAAUAUAGGCCUAUUUGCUUGUUGAGAUGCCCAUAUAAGUUGAUCACCAAAGUCCUUGACCGAAGAGUUGCUAUAUAUGCAAACAAACUCAUUAGCCCUACUAACGCAUUUGUAAAAGGGAGAAAUAUCAUGGACAGUGUCCAAUCCCUCCAUGAAAUUCUUAACUACACUUAUGUUAAGAAGAAAGUGGGAAUUGUCCUUAAGUUGGACUUUGAAAAAGCCUAUGAUAAGGUGAAUUGGGACUUUCUCCUAGAAUGCCACAAGAUGCGGGGCUUUGAUAAUACUUGGUGCGGAUGGAUUGAACAAAUAGUGCAUAAUUGCAUAGUUAGCAUCAAGCUUAAUGGUAGUGUUGGGCCGUAUUUUCAAGGCAAAAAAGGGUAA